AUUGUGUGAAUACAUAGCACAUUCGAGGUAGACGCAGAGAACUGAAACAUCUAAGUACCUGCAGGAAGAGAAAGAAAAUUCGAUUCCCUGAGUAGCGGCGAGCGAAACGGGAAAAGCCCAAACCAGCAAGCUUGCUUGUUGGGGUUGUAGGACUCCAAUAUGGUAGUUCUUUCAGAUAGUCGAAUGACUUGGAAAAGUCAGUCAAAGAGGGUAAAAACCCCGUAGACGAAAUGUGGAAGACACCUAGGAGGAUCCUGAGUACGGCGGAACACGAGAAAUUCCGUCGGAAUCCGGGAGGACCAUCUCCCAAGGCUAAAUACUCCCUAGUGACCGAUAGUGAACCAGUACCGUGAGGGAAAGGUGAAAAGCACCCCGGAAGGGGAGUGAAAUAGAACCUGAAACCGUGUGCCUACAACAAGUCAAAGCCCGUUAAUGGGUGAUGGCGUGCCUUUUGUAGAAUGAACCGGCGAGUUACGAUUGCAUGCGAGGUUAAGUUGAAGAGACGGAGCCGCAGCGAAAGCGAGUCUGAAUAGGGCGUUUGAGUAUGUAGUCGUAGACCCGAAACCAUGUGAUCUACCCAUGUCCAGGUUGAAGGUGCGGUAAAACGCACUGGAGGACCGAACCCACGUACGUUGAAAAGUGCGGGGAUGAGGUGUGGGUAGCGGAGAAAUUCCAAACGAACUUGGAGAUAGCUGGUUCUCUCCGAAAUAGCUUUAGGGCUAGCCUCGGAAUUGAGAAUGAUGGAGGUAGAGCACUGUUUGGACUAGGGGCCCAUCUCGGGUUACCGAAUUCAGAUAAACUCCGAAUGCCAUUCAUUCAUAUCCGGGAGUCAGACUGUGAGUGAUAAGAUCCAUAGUCGAAAGGGAAACAGCCCAGACCACCAGCUAAGGUCCCAAAAUAUAUGUUAAGUGGAAAAGGAUGUGGGGUUGCACAGACAACUAGGAUGUUGGCUUAGAAGCAGCCACCAUUUAAAGAGUGCG
rnacentral:rRNA from 1 species